rfam:Mesocricetus auratus contig173045, whole genome shotgun sequence.
GUAGUACUCAAACUGUGGGGGCACUUUUUGUUCUGGAAUAAAGUGCCGCCAGGUUCUGGGCAUUAC